rnacentral:rRNA from 1 species
CCCUUAGAUGUUCUGGGCCACACGCGUGCUACACUGAGUGGAUCAGCGGGUCAGGUUGCGCGAAAGCGUUUCCUAAUCUUUAAAUCCGCUCGUGAUGGGGAUUGACGGUUGCAAUUUUCUGUCAUGAACGAGGAAUACCUUGUAAGCGCGGGUCAUCAUCCCGCGCUGAAUACGUCCCUGCCCUUUGUACACACCGCCCGUCGCCCCUACCGAUUGAGUGGUCCGGUGAGGCUUUGGGAUCUGAGCGGAAAGAGCGUUUCGCUGUUUCUGCUCGGAAAACUCAGUCGAACCUUAUCAUUUAGAGGAAGGAGAAGUCGUAACA